rnacentral:rRNA from 1 species
GAAUUUUUGGCAAUGGGGGAAACCCUGACCAAGCAACGCCGCGUGGGUGAUGAAGUCUCUUGGGACGUAAAACCCUUUCGACAGGGAAGAAACCGCAAGGUUGACGGUACCCGUAGAAGAAGCCCCGGCUAACUCCGUGCCAGCAGCCGCGGUAAUACGGGGGGGGCAAGCGUUGUUCGGAAUUACUGGGCGUAAAGGGCGCGUAGGUGGUUUGCUAAGUUGGAUGUGAAAACUCUGGGCUUAACCCAUAGCCUGCAUUCAAAACUGACAAGCUCGAGUUCUGGAGGGGGAAGCGGAAUUCCUGGUGUAGCGGUGAAAUGCGUAGAUAUCAGGAGGAACACCGGUGGCGAAGGCGGCUUCCUGGACAGAAACUGACACUGAGGCGCGAAAGCUAGGGGAGCAAACAGG